rnacentral:rRNA from 1 species
UACAGAGGGUGCAAGCGUUAAUCGGAGUUACUGGGCGUAAAGGGCGCGUAGGCGGUUUAUUAAGUGAGAUGUGAAAGCCCCUGGGCUUAACCUAGGAACGGCAUCUUAUACUGGUAAGCUAGAGUAUUGUAGAGGGUAGUGGAAUUUCCGGUGUAGCGGUGAAAUGCGUAGAGAUCGGAAGGAACACCAGUGGCGAAGGCGGCUCACUGGCCCGGUACUGACGCUGAGGUGCGAAAGCGUGGGGAGCGAACAGG